GAAUGAUGAAAGGAUUGGGUCA
rnacentral:miRNA from 1 species